GAUGAACGCUAGCUACAGGCUUAACACAUGCAAGUCGAGGGGAAACGACAUCGAAAGCUUGCUUUUGAUGGGCGUCGACCGGCGCACGGGUGAGUAACGCGUAUCCCAACCUGCCCACCACUUGGGGAUAACCUUGCGAAAGUAAGACUAAUACCCCAAUGAUAUCCCACGAAGGCAUCCGAAUGGGAUUAAAGAUUANCGGUGAUGGAUGGGGAUGCGUCUGAUUAGCUUGUUGGCGGGGUAACGGCCACCAAGGCGACGAUCAGUAGGGGUUCUGAGAGGAAGGUCCCCCCACAUUGGAACUGAGACACGGUCCAAACUCCUACGGGAGGCAGCAGUGAGGAAUAUUGGUCAAUGGGCGCAAGCCUGAACCAGCCAAGUAGCGUGAGGGAAGACUGCCCUACGGGUUGUAAACCUCUUUUGUUUGGGAAUAAAGUGCGGGACGCGUCCCGCAUUGCAUGUACCAUUUGAAUAAGGACCGGCUAAUUCCGUG
rnacentral:rRNA from 1 species